rnacentral:rRNA from 1 species
AGAGUUUGAUCAUGGCUCAGGAUGAACGCUGGCGAGAUGCUUUACACAUGCAAGUCGUACGAAAGUUUUUAACUUAAGUGGCGGACGGGUGAGUAACACGUAAGAAUUUACCUUUAGGAGGGGGAUAACAACUGGAAACGGUUGCUAAUACCCCAUAUGCUUUCGAGUGAAAUGGAUUUUUCCGCCUAGAGAGAAGCUUGCGGCUGAUUAGCUUGUUGGUGAGGUAAUGGCUCACCAAGGCGACGAUCAGUAUCUGGUUUGAGAGGACGAUCAGACACACUGGAACUGAGACACGGUCCAGACUCCUACGGGAGGCAGCAGUGGGGAAUUUUCCGCAAUGGGCGAAAGCCUGACGGAGCAAUCUCGCGUGAGGGAUGACGGCCUAUGGGUUGUAAACCUCUUUUUUCAGGGAGGAAUAAAAUGACGUGUACCUGAAGAAUAAGCAUCGGCUAACUCCGUGCCAGCAGCCGCGGUAAGACGGAGGAUGCAAGUGUUAUCCGGAAUCACUGGGCGUAAAGCGUCUGUAGGUGGUUUAGUAAGUCAACUGUUAAAUCUUGAAGCUCAACUUCNAAAACUGCAGUCGAAACUACUAGACUAGAGUAUAGUAGAGGUAAAAGGGGAAUUUUCCAGUGGAGCGGGUGAAAUGCCGUAGAGAUNGGAAAAGAACACCCNAUGGGCGAAAGGCACUUUACUGGGGCUUAUUA